rnacentral:rRNA from 1 species
CCUACGGGAGGCAGCAGUGGGGAAUAUUGCACAAUGGGGGAAACCCUGAUGCAGCGACGCCGCGUGAGUGAAGAAGGAAUUCGGUACGUAAAGCUCUAGCAGCGGGGGAGAAAAUGACGGUACCUGAGUAAGAAGCGGCGGCUAACUACGUGCCAGCAGCCGCGGUAAUACGUAGGGGGCGAGCGUUAUCCGGAUUUAGUGGGAGUGAAGGGAGCGUGGACGGUGGGCCAAGUGGGGAGUGAAAUGUCGGAGCUUAACGGCGGAACUGCGUUGGAAACUGGAGAACUAGAGUGCGGGAGGGGGAAGCGGAAUUCUCGGUGUAGCGGUGAAAUGCGUAGAUAUUAGGAGGAACACUGGUGGCGAAGGCGGCUUACUGGACCGUAACUGACGUUGAGGCUCGAAAGCGUGGGGAGCAAACAGGAUUAGAUACCCCUGUAGUC